UACGGAGGGGGGCUAGCGUUGUUCGGAAUUACUGGGCGUAAAGCGCGCGUAGGCGGCUUUGUAAGUUAGAGGUGAAAGCCCGGAGCUCAACUCCGGAACUGCCUUUAAGACUGCAUCGCUAGAAUUGUGGAGAGGUGAGUGGAAUUCCGAGUGUAGAGGUGAAAUUCGUAGAUAUUAGGAAGAACACCAGUGGCGAAGGCGGCUCACUGGUCCGGUACUGACGCUGAGGUGCGAAAGCGUGGGGAGCAAACAGG
rnacentral:rRNA from 1 species